GGAGAGCUGUCCGAGUGGCCGAAGGAGCACGAUUGGAAAUCGUGUAGACCGCUACCGCGGUCUCGAGGGUUCGAAUCCCUCGCUCUCCG
rnacentral:tRNA from 2 species